GAGCAGGCGCUUCGUGCACGAACAUGGAUUGAAGAACAAGAAAGAAGAAAACUCGGAAAUCGAUUAAAAAUCAACGCCAACCGACGAAGAAUAGACGAGCAGAAUCGAGGGCGUCUGGCGGAACUAGUUUCGUGCUCGAGAGAAAUCCUACGAAGCGGUGUACGGGAAUCGGACGACGGGCAGUCAGACAUCAGGCGCGACCUCCGCGUGCAGUUCUGCUGCCCCUCCUCUUUUUUCACGAGAGGGCAGAGCACGUUUGCUGGCAGCGGCACCCCACACAGAGGCAUACCGCUCACCUUCAGCGAUACGCAGACCAUGGGCGUUGCACCAAGCCGUGAGACGAUCCGGCGAGGCUUCUUCAAUGUGAGUCAAGCAAACUCGACGGCCGCCGGCAGUGGCAGCGGAGGUGGGGGUGGCAGCAGCAAGCGCCAAGACAUCAUCCUCAUCCCUCUCACAAAGGAGUACUUCCCAAGCCCCGACUGUCCGCUGUUUGUGCAGUUCCACAAGGCGCGCUGCGAUGCUGCGGUGAACUACUAUUUCCGACGGCCCGGCAAUCCGGGAGACCUUAGCCGUAUUCCCAACUACGCGAGCUCCUACCGAUUACCCGGAGAUGAGACGCGCGCUCAGCGGCGCCGUCGUCGUCAGCAGGAGCGCGAAGCACGUGCCGUCGCUGCUGCUGCCGAGUCGGCCCCGGAGAGUGGCGUAGACGCCGAUCUGCAGGCUGCCGGGCUAAUGCCGGAACGAGGCCACAGCAGCAGUGAGGGGGACGACGAUGACAACGAGGAUGACUCGUACCCCUCACGUGAAGCCCUAUACCGCGGCGUCAUCGAGCACGUGGAGGAGAUGCUCUUCGACACAGACGCAGAGAUGCGGCAAGCCUACGAGUGGGCGCUCGCUCACCCGCACACCACCAUGGGGCCCGAUGGCAAGAAGCAGCGGAAGGUGCUGCCCGUCUUAUGCGCCGUGGCGUUCCGGUCAGACAUUAGCAAGGUGCUCAACCUGCACAAUGCCGUUCCUGGUGGUGCUGCAGCGCGAACGGCAACUCCUGUGUCCUCUGCUUCCCCGCCGUCGCCAUCCUACUGCGGGAGUAGUGCGUCCACGGCCAUGAACAACAUGCAGGCGGCGCUAGAGAGCGGCGUAUACAUGUUCGGCUCCAUCAUCAACAUUGUCGGCUGCUUCGGCUUCGCUUCCAUGCAGGAGGACGUGGAAGACGCACAGCGGGUGUCGACGCAGGCCUCGGCCAUGGCGAACCAGACAACCAGCCUGCUCACCCCAGGUUCCAGGCAGUCGCCCUCGCUGACAGCAGGGGGCACGUAUCACAAUGACCCGUACUCCUUCACCAGUAGUCAGGCGAGCAGUGGUGGCAUGAAGGCGACGUCGCCGAUGACGAGCAGUGGAACGCUUCUGAGGACGCGUGGGGUCGGUAUGAAAGGUGGCAGCUAUCUCGCCCGCAUCGGCACGUCCGAGGAUGUCAUGACGCUGCCGCCUCCGGUGGCCGCCCCGCUAGCGGCCAUGGUGUUCCUCACAAAAUCUGCCGGCGAGCAGAAUCUUGGCCGCGUGACGUACAUUGCCGCUAGCACCUACUACUACCAGAUGAUACAGGCAGGGCUGAUCGAGCGGCAGCCCAGCCUGCGAAUGGAGGGCCCGAUCGCCUAUCAGAGCCCGGCCGCAGCCUCGGCACCGCCUCUGCCUCCCUACGACAGCGGAGUCAACAGUGCUGUUCCCGUGCCUGCAGCGGAUGCACCGCCGCCGAUGUACGGUGCUGCCGCCGGCGGCGGCUCCUCUGCUUCGCCUGCCACGCUUCCGACGCUGUCGGCCGUCGCACAGGGGGCACCGCGGCCAUUCCUGCCGCCGAUGGAGACGUUCAGCUUCUCGAGCCUUCUCACCAACAUUCCGAUUCUAUCGUUCCUGUACGAAAUGAAGUGGCGCUGGGGCUACCUCGGUGUGCUCAAGGGUGGCACCCCAACGGCCGGCCUGAGCCGCAACAGCAGUUUCAGCGGGCCCUUGUCGAGCUACCACAUGGACGGCAUGACGGCUCGCGGCCCGGGCACUAUGAUGGGUAACCACAGCUCCGGCGGCUUGUCUGCUGUUGACCGCAGCGUGGGCCAGGGCGUCACGGACGAGAUGGAGAUGUGGAUCACAGCGGACCAGAUGAUCCACGGCCGCAUCUCGAAGGAUCUGGCGCAGCGUCUGUGCUGGUCCCUCGCGGAGCGUCCGGAGGUGAUGCAGGAGCGCGUGACGCAGCUGCCGAGUGAGGAGAGCGGGUACUGGCGGUACCGCGGGCUGGUGGAUCAGGCGCAUCCGCCGCCGGUUCCAGAGCCGGGCCACGUGGUGACGAUUCACCCAAAAGACGUCUACGUCAUGGGCAGCGAUGUCCUGCCGGGCUUCAACGAGGGCGACAUUUUGCGCUUCGAUCCAGGCCGUCUUGUGUGGUUCGCAGACCACUCGAUUCCCCUCGAGGGUGUCGUGCUGGCGGCGAUGCGACCAUACUGCAAGCAGGCGCGCGAGGCGGACUCCGACGACCCGGCUUGGGUGACGCGGGUGUGCGACCGUGAAGAGCUCGAGACUCUGCACAGCGGCGAUGGAGAUGUCUGCUACCCACCCCCGCGCGCGAGUGCAGAGGAGCUGGCAGUGCUGGAGUCGUGCCCGAACAUGGUGCACGUCCACGAGCACAUUGGAAACUUCUACGUCUAUCGGUUUGAGCGGGAUGGCACUACGUACUACCACGGAACGGUGCCGAACUUUGCGAACCCGAACAAGAAGAAGCAGGCGGCCUCUGGCGGCUCACUCGGUGCCUCCAUGCCGGGGUCCCAAAAUAACGCUAACCCCCCGCCAUCCACCGCAGCCGUAGCGACCGCUCCUUACGCGUCCCCGAUGGCACGGCCGCCACCGAUCUUGUCUGCCUCGACGACCGCUGCCAGCGCAAGCAAGCCGGCGAGCGUGCCGGUGCCCAAGACGAUUGCCAGCGCCUUGUUCUCACUGCUGCCAGCGUCACGCGCAACGGCGCAGAAGGGCAGCACCGACACUAGCAGUGCCAGUGGUAGUGCGGUGGCAAGAAGCGGAGCCGGGGAGCACGGCGGGCAAGCCUCUUCACAGACUGGCGCAGGCAACACGUCGGCAGCCCCAACGGCUGCGUACCUUGCCACACCAGUCGUGUCGUCAGCUUCGUCGGAGGCCAUGAGCACUGCGCGAAAGUGGAUGCAGGCAAUAUACAGCUAUGCCUACGGUGUGCAGAACGUGCAGGCCACGCGUCGCGGCUCCAGCGCAGCGAACCGGACUGGCGCCGCUGCAGGGCCGUCGCGCCCGCCAGUCCUGGGCGGAGUGCCAACGCCCGGCGCUGCCGGAAUAAAUCACAGCGGUGGCAGCUACCCAUCGACGCCAGUGCACGGCUCGCGCGGGAUGACGCCGACCUCGAUUGGAGCGUCCGCUGGCUUCCCAAAUGUAGUUACCGUCGACGUAGCUGUGUGGCCGCCGCAGCGGCGCAUGCCCGCUGUCACAACACCGCUGCUAUGCCCGGUGACUAGUACUAGCCCUUCCGCCACUCCUAGCACGCCAACGCUUACUGCAGGCAACGGCCCAGCGGUGGCCCGACACUCCCGCUCCUCCUCGCGAACACAGAUGCCGCAGACGGGCGCGCCAGCUGCGAAGGGGGUCUCGCCAGCGGUGCCGUUCGGCGGUAUCACUGGCACCGCUGGCACCUCUGCUUCAAAGCCGAUCAAGCGCUACGUGGAGGGUGGCAGCUACGAGUGGGACUGGCGGUGAUAAUGGACGUGCGUGCGAUGUCUUCAUCAAAUGGGCAUGCGCGCGGCUCACAAAGAGAGGGAGGCGCCGUUUGUGUGCUUGCCUAUGCGUUGGCGGCUCUGGCGUGUCGGCCGGCUUCUCUCUUCUUCCAGCCACGCUGCAAGGUUUGCUGUAUUUCCUCACCCCGCCUUCUCCCCUGCAAGUCUCUCUCUAUCGGUGUAAGCCCCUCUGAUGGUUGUCCUGUUAGAGGGGGUCCCUCCCUCCGCCGUCUUCCCUCAGCCAUUCCGCGUCUCUCUUCCUUUUCUAUCGAGGCGCAGCACGCACGCUGCCGUUUUCAUCUGCACAUCAUGUUUAACGCGAGAGUAGGAUAGCGAGGGAACUCCGCGCAGUAUUCGGCACGCAGGCGUGCUGAGGAAGGAGGUGAGUCAGCGUCCUCCACGGGAGAAGAAUAGCACCGUCGCAGCCUCUCCCUCCUCUCCCUUCUCUCCAAUCUUUGCUGUUGUUUACGCAGCUCCGGGCGAUACCGCUCCAUGGUGUGCUUCUUGUGCUUCCUUCCCUCCCGUCUUCGUGUUUCUAUCCCUUCCUUGCCACACCUUUCGUCCGAAUGAAAACGUCUUUUUUCCUCGUCAGACUAAGGCACCUAAAGUUUGUAGCGGGCCUGGCGCAUGUUAGGCACCCCGCUCUUCACGGCUAACGUUGUCCCCCUUUUUCCUUUGUUGGCCUUCGCUGUCUCGGCUGUGUGUGCUGGCUCGCUUCUGUAUAUACUUCUUCACCCCCCCUGCGCUGUCGUGUUUUCGCACUCCCGUGUUCUUGUUCCUUGCCACGCCCGGUGACUUAUCUUUGCCUGUUGGUGUUGUUGCUUCGUAGGAUACGUCUCAGUCGAUGGCGUGGGUGGGCGGGUAAGUGUGGCCAUGUGGGGCAGGGAAGGUCGCCGAUAUCGUAGUGCGUGUGCGACAUCUCAUGCCCUCUUGCUGCGCUUCACACUCCCUCCCCAUUCUGUGUCUCAUUGUUUUUUUUUUCGUUUUAUUUAUAUCUUCAUCUUUUCCGUGCUCUUGUUACGUUGCUCUGUUUUGUGUUGUCUCGCUGUGACUGUUGAUGGUGCGCUGGCGUGCCGCGUUUGAGUGCGUUACUCUGCUCGCGUGCGGCGCAUUCUUUUCUUGUUGUUCACCCUCCCCCUUUUCGGUUGUUUCCUGUUCGGUGUGUGUGUGUGUGCCUUCGCCCGUUACGGCAUGUAAGCGUUGCACAGCAGUUGAGCGCAGGGGCGAAGUGUGUGAUGCACAGGUGAGUGGAGGGCGAAACACCAACAAACACAUAAAAGGGAACUCUCGCAGUGGUGGUGUUGGUGGGCUCUUCCCUCCCCUUUUUACUGCAGUUUGACAAGCUGUCGUCUGGAUCUUACUUGUUUCACGUGCGGCCGCUACGGACUUCUCGCCGUUUUGUCUUUCCUUCCUUUUUUUUGUUCGAUACCGCCGAAUACGAUUCUUUGUUGGUCUCAGCGUAGGAUGUAUCGCUGGGGUGGGGCGAGAGAGGGGAGGGGGCUUGUUUUGUAUGUUUACAAGUUAGCGUGAACCUCCACGCAUGCGCGUGUACAUGUGACCGACUGAACGUAUGUCUUUUCCUUCCUAACGCCCGUCUUUACACAUCGUCGUUUUAUUCAUUUUUCUUCGUUUCGCCCUUUCUGGCUUUAACGCGUCUAAUACACGCGCGUGUGCAUCAACGGCCUCGCAUUCUCUGGCAGACGCGAACAAGGGCAAAUAUGUGACACUCGCGGUGACCAUGCAGGCGUAUCAAGACCGGCGCUCUGUGGUGAAGAAGAAGUUCACCUCACAGCACUCAGCUACGCACACCCGAGUAUAUUGCACAUGCAGUGGUGAAAAAUCGAUGCUUCUUUUUUUUGCCUGUUUUUCUUGCGCUCACCCGUCCCCAACCAGUCGCGCGCCUCGCCUUUUCAGCCUUUGUGCUUGACACGCUUGUUCCAGUGCCUCGACGGCUACACUACGUUUCUUUUUUAUCUUACUGUGCCUUCGGCUCUGUACCGGCUCCGUGCAGGUAGCAAGAUACGUGCUACUCUGCGCACCUUUAUCACGGUCUCGUGGCUGGUUGUCUCCGUCGCGGGCAACGAAGGGGCAUCCGCUGCUGCUGAUGCUGCUGCUGCUGCUCCUGCUACCGCAGCAGCGGUGUGGAUGAGUGCGAGGGAGAGCAAAACGAAAGGCGACGUGGGGAGGCGGCUGACCAUCAGCGUACGUGUGAGUGUAAUAUAAGAAGUAGCCUUGUUUUCCACUUUUGGAAGUGCUGUAUUAUUC
rnacentral:misc_RNA from 1 species